UCCGGUUGAUCCUGCCGGAGGUCACUGCUAUCGAGUUUCGACUAAGCCAUGCGAGUCACAGGCCGAAAGGUACUGGCGGACGGCUCAGUAACACGCGGAUAAUCUACCCUCAGGUGGGGUAUAACCUUGGGAAACUGAGGCUAAUCCCCCAUAGGUCCUGUAAACUGGAAUGUUUUAGGACAGAAAGUUACCGCGCCUGAGGAUGAGUCUGCGGCCUAUCAGGUAGUAGGUGGGGUAAAGGCCCACAUAGCCUAUGACGGGUACCGGCCCUGAGAGGGGUAGCCCGGAGAUGGGUUCUGAGACACGAACCCCCGCCCUACGGCGCGCAGCAAGCGCGAAACCUUCUCAAUGCGCGCAAGCGCAACGAGGGGAACUCGAGUGCUAUUAUCCUUUUGGGUGAUAGCUUUUCUCGAUCCUAAAAAAAUCGGGGAAUAAAAGCUGGGUAAGACGGGUGCCAGCCGCCGCGGUAAUCCCCGCAGCUCAAGUGGUGCCCCCUAUUAUUGAGCCUAAAGCGCCCGAACCCGGUCUUGUAAAUCUCUGGGUAACUCCCAUCCCUCGGCGCGGGGAAGACUGGACACACUGCAAGACUAGGGAUCGGAGUGAAGUAAGAGGUUCUCCGGGGGGAGGGGCAAAAAUCCUGUAAUCCCGGGGGGGACGACCCGGGGCCAAAG
rnacentral:rRNA from 1 species